rnacentral:rRNA from 1 species
GACGAACGCUGGCGGCGUGCUUAACACAUGCAAGUCGAACGGAAAGGCCCUGCUUUUGUGGGGUGCUCGAGUGGCGAACGGGUGAGUAACACGUGAGUAACCUGCCCUUGACUUUGGGAUAACUUCAGGAAACUGGGGCUAAUACCGGAUAGGAGCUCCUGCUGCAUGGUGGGGGCUGGAAAGUUUCGGCGGUUGGGGAUGGACUCGCGGCUUAUCAGCUUGUUGGUGGGGUAGUGGCUUACCAAGGCUUUGACGGGUAGCCGGCCUGAGAGGGUGGCCGGCCACAUUGGGACUGAGAUACGGCCCAGACUCCUACGGGAGGCAGCAGUGGGGAAUAUUGCACAAUGGGCGGAAGCCUGAUGCAGCAACGCCGCGUGCGGGAUGACGGCCUUCGGGUUGUAAACCGCUUUCGCCUGUGACGAAGCGUGAGUGACGGUAAUGGGUAAAGAAGCACCGGCUAACUACGUG